rnacentral:lncRNA from 1 species
UACAUUACACGUUUUUUAUGUUAAAUAACAUGCCCCGCCUCACAUACCCUUACUACCUAACCUCUGCAUCCAUGUACGCGAUGCAAAACUUUCAAAUCACUUGUCAUUCGUGCUGUAAACCCACUAAAUUCCCAAUUAAACCCCAAAUUAAAAUUGGGUCAACCAACCUAGUUUUCCAAUUUAUAAGAAAUCAACACCCUAAAUCCUCAUUAUUCUUUUAUUUUGAGCCUUAUCCGAGCUGCUUACCCUUUUCUUGUACUGAAAGUUGCGCCCCAAUAUAAAUCUACAAGACUUUUCCUCUCUUUUUCUUCUAGCACUUCACUUUAAGGUUUGUUUUCUUUUUUUCUUUCUCUUUUUUGGGUUCAAAGAUCAUGUAUUGUUAAUAACCAAAAAGCUAUCUUUCUAAAGACGGAUAGAAACUCACCAUCUAUCUUCUUAAUCUAACACUAUACAUCAAUCUAGAUAUCAAAUACCUAUAGCACUGCAAAGAAUACAUACAUCAGUUUUAUCAUUCUACUCCUAAGGAAAGUAAUUUAGCUUGCUCAAUAAAUUCCUCCAGGAUGCUCUAUCUCUUCCUUGAAUGUGUAAGUGCAUUACUAUGCCAUAAAAUAUGUGAUUAUCCAUUGCUUGUCCAUUAUUGAAUCUCAAUGUAUUCCUAUCAAGCCAUAUACUAUAGAUAAACAUUGCAAAUGUGCCACAAAUGGACUCAACAUAAGCUCAUUUCUUCUUUGGUACUGUGCAUAUCCAUUUUAUUUUCUACUGCCAUGUUAUACUGGUUCUUCUAAUUUGCAGCCAAUUUAACAUUUCUCUCCACACCUGGUUGCUAUAAGUGCAACUGAAGAACAGGUGGUCAAAAGACUCUAUAUCUUUAUCACAAAAGAUGCAAUUCAUUGGUACUUGGAUUUCUAUCUUUUGAAGCCUCACUACAUUUACCAACCUUUGCUGUACUGCCAUCCAUAACAUGAACUUAAACCUUGGGUGCACUUGAUUUUGUAAGGUUAUAUUCUUCCAUGGAACCUUAGGUAGUUGAGACAUCAUGGUUUGGUAUGCUUGUUUAAUCUUGAACUUGCUACUUUGCACCAUCUUUUCCAGGAAAUACUGAAUUGAGCCUUGGUAUUAUUGCUGUAAAAUCACCACUUGUCUAUUAUCUAUAAUUUUUUUCACCGCCCAAGCUGUAGUUUUAGGACUCGUUACCAUUUCCAAUCCAUUACUAUUGAUAUAGUGAUAGUGCACUUGAUUCAUAAUGUGUCUUUCUUCAUAGAUAUAGCCCACAGGUGCUUCAGAAUAGCUGCUUUGUUCCAUCUUUUGAUAUCAAUUACAUUCAGUCCACCUGUUAAACCUGGACAACAUAUUCUUUCCCAUGCCACUAUUUUCUUCCUUGAUAUAUCACCUUUACCUAUCCAGAGAAAGGUUCUACACACUGCUUCUGGCAUCUUGAUCACUUUUUGUGGUAGUACAAAAAUUUAUGUCCAAUAACUUUGCAUUCAAAAAAAUACAAACUUGACGAGCUGAAUUCUUCUAGAGUAUGAUAGUAACUUAGCUGACCAGUAGUUUAUCUGGGCUGUAAACUUCUCAACUAGUGGUAGGUAUUGGGGUACUGUUAGCUUUUUGGUGGAAAGAUGAACCCCUGAGUACUUGAAUGGGAGUUUUUCAUCCACAUAACCCAAUCAUUUUAUAAUAUAUAUUUCCAAGCUACUAGUAGUACCUAUUAUAUAGAUUGAGCUCUUCUCCUGAUUAGGUCUCAGACCAGAUGCUUUAGAGAAUUUUCAAAAGUUAUCUUGUAUCAAGAUGGUAGAGGUUAAAUAGGCCUUACAAAACAUAUGUAGGUCAUUAUCAAAAUGCAUAUGUAUCACUCCAAAUAUCUUUCAUCUAGGAUGGAAGUGAAAUGGGUUAUUGAGCACCAACUGUGUCAAUUCCCUAUGCAAGUUUUCCAUUGUUAUAACAAAGAGAUAGGGAGACAUGGGGUCCCCUUGCCUCAGUCGUCUCUUAGCUUGAAAUGGUUGUGUUAGUCCACCAUUUAGCAUUAAUGAAUAAGGGAUUGUUGACACAUAUUCCAUUAUCCAGUUAAUGAACUUUUAAGGAAACCUUAGUUCUGUCAGCAUAUCUCUUAAAAACUGCCACUCUAGUGUAUCAUAUACUUUCCUCGUAUCCACUUUUAGUAUACACCUAAGUGAUAUCCAUUUUCUUGUGUAGCUUUUAAAUUACUCAUGACUCAGCAGUAUAUUAUCAGAGAUGAUCCUCCCUUCACAAAAGCUGAUUGGGACAUUUCUAUCAAUCCAUUUAUUACCUUCUGCAUCUUGUUAGUGAGAAUUUCGGCAACCAGUUUGUAUAGAGUGGAAAAACAAACAAUGGGUCUAUAAUCCUUCACCUUAAUAGGUGAAGAAAAUUUUGGAAUAAAGUUAUGGAAGUGCAUUUCUAGGCUUUCAUUAUCUUACCCUCAGAAAAGAACUACUGUACAGCUCAUACGCACUCGCCUUCACCUCUUCCUAGUUGCUGUUGAAAAACUCAAUAGGGUAACCAUCUAUUCCAGGACUUUUGUCUAGUUGUAUGCCUUUGACUGUAUGAUAAAUAUCCUCUACACUAACUUAUUGUAUAUACAUGAAUUAUUGGUUCCUGUCAAGACAUGGACCUGCUUUUGAUCACUAAUGCAUUUAGAUAAGGCAAUUCCUCAACACUACCCCCUUGAGCAAUGUAAAGAAUGACACAAAUUCCAUUUUCACUUUCUUAGGGUUAGUCAACUUUACUCCAUUCUCAGUAUAUAUAGCAAUGAUAGAAUUGUGAGUUGUUCUGAUCAUUACUUGAUCAUGAAAGUACUUAGUAUUAGCAUCCUUACUAUCAAUCAAACACACUCUUGAUUUCUGUCAUAGUACCUUCUCCUCAAUGAGACUCUAUUUUUAUAUUUCUCUUAAUAUUGCCUCCCCUUGCUCAAUUAAAGUUGGCUUGAAUAAUUGGUUAUUAAUUUGAGUUUGUACAAUCUCUAGUUGUUACCUAGCCUUAUUGAGCUUCUAUGCAUAUGAGGCCAUGAAGAUAUUCAAUUCCUGUAACUCCACUUUUAGUUUCUUCAGUUUGUUCCACAAUCCUUGCAUUGCGUUUCCACUUGUUGAUCUCUGCCAAAUUGUAAUACCCCGGGAAAUUUUUUGCUGAAAUUUUAUGCGUAAAUGUGUUGGUUUCUAUCUUCUAGAAUGAAUUAUAAAUUUUUUCAUGCGGAAUGUAAUAGAUUAUGACCCACCAUUGCGUAGAGUAUCGAAUAAGAUUUCCAACGAUAUGUGGAUCAUCCAAAACGGACACCCGAGCGAUAAGUUAUGAACAUUUCGAUUGAACUGUGAAUAGUAGUGAACAGUAAAACACGCAGGAAAAAGUACUGAGGCCUGACAUAUUUUUCAUCCAGCUUAAAACGAUCAUAAAUCCUUACACAUAAUGAUUUGGGUGAUCUACUAUAUAUAUCAACGGAAAGCUAUGCGAGUCCUCUUUCCAAUGAAAUUGGUUUCAUUCAAUUUGUCUAUUGGAGCAAAAAGUUAUUGCCGAUCUACUUCAACCUACCGAAAGAAAAUUUUUGGGUCAACUUCGAAUGAUCAUAACUCUUCGUACACAAUGAUAUGAGUGAGAUACUAUAUAUCAAUGGAAAUAUAUGAGAUUCCUCUUUCUAAUGAAAUUGGUUUCAUCCAAUUUUGAUAUCGGAGUAAAACGUUAUGGUCGAUCUACUUCAGACUAUCAAAACAGUCCAUCAAAAGACAGAUUCGAGAAUUAUUUGAUUUUUAGGGGUGUUUUGGUCAUCCCCCCUCACCCAAAAUCCAUCCAAACCCUAUAUUAAAGCCUAUUAGAAGCAUUAUAUGUUAUAUUUCAUCAAAUUCCCUAAAAAAACCCUAAGCUCCUACAUCCAACUUCAAGAACCUCCAAAGUUCACCAUUAAACCUGCAAAUUUAUUCAAGAUUCCAAGUUCUUAGUUCAAGAACUCCAAGAACCAUCAUUUAAAGGCACGAUUAACAUCUCAAAAAUGAGUAUCGAUCUAAAGUUCAUCAUUCAAGGUAUGUGGGGUUUUUCAACAAGAACUUUCUUUCGUUCUUGUGCCAAAAAGUAAUUUUCUUUACAAAGGCAUGAUUUUUAUUUGAUUUUUACGAAUUUGAAGCAUGAACCCAUAUCUUAUGAUGAUUAUUAUGAAAUCUUGUUGUUUAUGAUUUUGAAAGAUGAAUUUACAUGUGUGGAGAUAUAAAGAAUGAAUCUUGAAGGAUAUUUAUCAUGAUUUUGAUAUUUGGGUCGUGAAUCCCCAUUGGAAAUUGUAUUUUUUGAGAAAGUGUGUGUUAUAAGCACGUUGAUGUUGAAUAUUUGAGAUAUUUUGAAUGAUGUGACCUUUUGGUCUUAAUGGAGUUGUUUUGAACUCGAGUGUGAAAGAAAUUCACAGCGUGGUUGAUUUUGAUAGAUGGGAAGCAUGAUGGAUCCCGAGGUAUAUUUAUAUAUUACUAAAAUUGUUUUGUUGUGGAUUGUCUUUUAAAUGAUUUGAGCUAAGUCUGAGAGAAAUCAUCAGCAUCGAGUGGAAGGUAUAAAGCGGCCUUACUUCCCUAGAACUACGUGCACCCAUAGGAGUAAGCCUGAGGCUGAUUUAUAUAGUGAUCACUAGUUUGUGUGGAUUUGAUAUCGAUAGUCCUACUAUGAUGGAAAGGAUAGGACGUCUCUCCCCAACGUGGGUCGUACGUUGGACUCCAUGUGGCUCACAUGGUUUAUGUCAGUUAUAGGAUCUCCCAGUGUGUGUGUGUUUCCUUGUGUCUAUGGUGAAUGGUGAAGUGAUUUGAAAGUGGAAUUGUGAAAGUUAUUCUUUCGAAAGAUUUAAAUGAUAUUUACAUUAUGAGAAUUGAUAUUCUUGAUGAACUGAAAGUGAUUGACAAAUUAUAUGAUGACUCACAUGUGUUAUUGUACUUAUUUCAUCCUCUCAUGAUUAUGAUGAUUUUCUUCGAGCUAUGUGAGUCUUUCAUACAUCCUGCAUAUUUCUUAUAAAUAUUUAUGAUGAUGAUGUUUAUACAGCUGCAUACACGCCCCAUAUACUCGGUUCCUUUCCAUGGUACUAACCCACAUCUUCGGAUGUGGGCUGCAUUUUCUCAAAAUAUAGGUUCAGGUGCUCAGUUCUAGGUUCGACAAUGAUUCUUCAGGCAUACUGUUCUAUAUCCUCUAUUGUGGUGAGUCCUCAUGUUUUGAGGACGUGAUGUCUGAUGUUGGUUUCACAGAAUUGUUUACAUUUGAUAACUGAGUAUGAGUCAGUUGGGGCAUGUCUCAAUGGCUCGCUGGUUUUAUUGAUUUUCUUAGAGGCUUGUCAGACUAGUAUAGAUGUUGGGAGUUGGAUAAUAAGUCAUAUUUUGUUAUAUUUUUGAAAUUCUUUUAUUCUUAGAUGAUGAUUACUCUGUUGAUAUUUGAAGGUUAUUUAUGGAAACCCCGUUGAUUUGUGUUGAUUUGUGUUGAUUUGUGACGCUUUGAGACUAAUUUUUUGGGGUGUUACAAACUUGGUAUCAAAGCCUAAGGUUUUAAGGUGUCCUAGGGAGUCUGACAAGCCACGUUAAGUAGAGUCUUGAUCAUUGGUGUGUAGCGCGCCACAUCUAUGAGCAAGAGGCUACAAGAUGUUUUAGGAAAAAGCGUGAUUCUUUCUUUUAGAAGUCUAUCAUGCUUAAAGUAUCUCACUUUGCUAUUGAUUCGUGCUCUUCUCUUUUAGAAAUAUACCUCCACGUUGAGCUAGAAGAAAUAAUGAUGGUCAUAAACCUUAACCCGCUAACCCAUUGAAUGAAAACGUGUCUCCUACUGAAUUUUUGGGCAACCUUUUAGGCGCUGGCCAAAACUAUUACUACAAAUGUUUAGGCCAACUCAGCCCCGGCUUCGCAGUAGCAGAGAGGUGAUUUAGCUGCUGCAUGGAUCCAUGACUUCAUGUAGAUGAAUCCACUGGAAUUCUAUGGGUCCAAGUCUGAUGCGGAUCCACGAUUAUUUUUAGAGGAGGUGCAGAAGAUUACUCAGGUGAUGCAUGUAUCUGAGGAACAUAGUGUAGAGUUGGCUACGUAUAGGUUGAAAGACCUUGCUUAUGACUGAAUUAUUGCUUGGAGGAAAGGUAGAGGUGAGGGAGCUAUUCCUACAACUUGGCAAGAGUUCCAGGAUGCAUUCCUGGAUAAGUUUUUCCCUUUGGAGAUAAGAGAGGUGAAAGUGAAAGAGUUUAUGAACCUGCGAUAGGGCUCUAUGACUGUUAGGGAGUACUGUCUAAAGUUCAAUCAGUUUGCCAAGUAUGCUCCUGACUUAGUGGCUGAUAAUUGGGCUAGUAUGAGUAAGUUUAUGACUAGAGUGUCUAGUUAUGUAGUUAAGGAGUUUAGGUCUGCUAUGCUGAAUAGUGAGAUGAAUCUUUCUAGGAUGAUGAACCAUGCCCAAUAUAUUGAGGCAGAAAAGAUUAAAGAGAGAGAUAGAAUGAGAUAGAUUAAGAGAGCUAGAUCCGAGAAGCACGGACAGGGUCAGACUAGAUCGUAGGGAAGGAGUCGUCCUUAGUAUCAGGAUCAUUCGUCUAUGCCAGCACCAUUAUCUGCUAGUGCUCCAGUGCCUAGAGGUAGGUAGGAGCAAGGUAGCAGGUCAUAUGUAUCCAAGUCCCAGGACAGUGCUGGUAGUAAGCCAAAUCAUCCCCUAUGUUCUAACUAUGGUAGGGCUCAUUUGGGUGAGUGUUGGGAUGAGAAAAGGGGUUAUUUCCAGUGUGGUAACAUGGGUCACAGAUUUAAAGAUUAUUGACAGGAUGGACAAGGGCGUUGUGACUAUCACCCUUAGACUCAGACUAAGACUGUUAGUGCUCCAGUUCCAGCGACUCGCCCAGUCCCAGCUUAGGGCGCCUCUUCUAGCAAUGCUGGCGGGCAGCGCCAGAAUAGAUUGUAUGCUUUUCCAUCCCACCAGGAACAAGAGGACUCUCCCGAUGUUGUUACUGGUAUGCUUCGUAUAUUUCAGUUUGAUGUGUAUGCUUUGUUGGAUCCUGGAUCUAGUUUCUCAUAUGUUACACCUUUGAUUGCUGUGAAUUUUUAAAUGAGUCUUGAGAUUAUUCCUGAGCCUAUCCUAGUUUCUACCCCAGUGGCUGAUUCGAUUAUUGCCCAGAAAAUGUAUAAAAAGUGUCCUGUUAUCGUUCUUCAUAGAGUCUUGUUGGCUGAUCUGAUUGAGUUUGACAUGGUAGAUUUUGAUGUGAUUCUGGGUAUGGACUAGCUGUAUUCUUCUUAGGCCUCUAUUGAUUGUCAGACCUGAGUGGUCAAGUUUCAGUUUUUGGGAGCAUCCGUGUUUGAAUGGUCUGGGAAUUUUGUGUCACCCAAGAGUCAUUUUAUCUCUUACCUCAAAGCUAGAAAGAUUAUUUAUAAGGGGUGUAUUUACCAUUUGGUUAGAGUCAAAGACACUAAGUAUGAGACUCCAACUCUCCAGUCUAUUAAUGUCGUCAAUGAAUUUUCUGAUGUCUUUCCGGAUGAUCUUCUAGGGAUACCUCCUGAUAGAGAGAUAGAGUUCGGGAUUGAUCUUCUUCCCGAUACUCAGCCUAUUUCUAUUCCUUCUUACCAUAUGGCCCCUAUAGAACUUAAGGAGUUGAAAAAGCAACUCAAAGAUCUACUAGAUAAGGGUUUCAUAAGGCCUAGUGUUUCUCUUUGGGGUGCUCCUGUGCUGUUUGUGAGAAAGAAAAAUGGCUCUUUGUGUAUGUGCAUUGAUUACCGCCAAAUGAAUAAAAUCACCAUAAAAAAUAAGUACCCCCUUCUGAGAAUAGAUGAUUUGUUUGAGCAAUUGCAAGGUGCAAGUUAUUUCUUAAAGAUAGACCUUCAUUCCGGCUAUCAUCAACUCAAAGUUAGGGAGUGUGACAUCCCAAAAACCACUUUCCGAACUCGUUAUGGCCAUUUUGCAUUUCUUGUUAUGUCUUUCAGGUUAACUAAUGCCCCAACAGCUUUCAUGGACCUCAUGAAUCGAGUGUUCAGACCAUAUCUAGAAAUAUUUGUCAUAGUGUUCAUCGAUGAUAUACUGGUGUACUCCAGUAGUGAGGAUGAACAUUUUUAUCAUCUCCGAACAGUCUUGCAAACCCUUAGAACUCACAAGUUGUUUGCCAAGUUCAGUAAGUGUGAGUUUUUGCUAAGGUCAGUUGCUUUUCUGGGUCAUAUCAUUUCUUCCGAGGGUAUUAGAGUUGAUCCCCAAAAGAUCAAAGAUGUUAGAAAUUGGCCUAGACCUAUUUCUCCAACUGAUAUCCAAAGUUUCUUGGGUUUAGCUGGCUAUUACUGCCGUUUUGUUGAGCGUGUCUCCUCUAUAGCAUCUCCUAUGACUCGAUUGACCCAAAAGAAAGUUAGGUUCUUAUGGUCCGAAUCUUGUGAGAAGAGUUUUUAGGAGUUGAAGACUCAACUCACUUCAGCCCCUGUUUUGACUUUACCUGAUGGUGUGGAUGGUUUUGUGGUGUACUUUGAUGCUUCGAGAGUUGGGUUGGGUUGCGUAUUGAUGCAGAAGGGUAAGGUGAUAGCUUAUGCUUCUAGACAGUUGAAACCCCAUGAGAAAAAUUAUCCCACCUAUGACCUUGAGUUAGCUACUGUUGUGUUUGCUUUGAAAAUCUAGAGACACUAUUUGUAUGGUCUCCAUGUUGAUGUUUUCACUGAUCAUAAGAGUCUGCAGUAUGUGUUUACCCAGAGAAAAUUGAAUCUUAGGAAGAGACGAUGGUUAGAAUUAUCAAAGGACUAUAUAUGAGUGUGCUGUACCAUCCGGGCAUGGCCAAUGUUGUGGCGGAUGCCCUAAGUAGAGUGUCCAUGGGUAGUGUUUUGCCUGUGGUAGAAGGUAAGAAGGAGUUGGCUUGUGAUGUACAUUGUUUGUCUAGAUUGGGGGUUAGGUUGUUUGACUCUGCUGAAGGUAGUAUAGGGGUUCAGACUAGUUCCGAAUCCUCCUUAGUUUUGCAAGUGACGAAAAAGCAAUACUUAGAUGCUAGGUUGGUCAGACUGAAGGAGUCAGUCAAAGACCAAAAAGUAGAUCUUUUCUCCCAAGGGGGAGAUGGUGUGUUGAUAUUGCAGUGUAGAUUGUGUGUCCCGAAUGUUGAUGAUUUAAGAUAGAGGAUUAUGGCUGAAGUGCACGGGGCACGAUAUUCUAUUUUAUCUUGGUGCUACCGAGAUGUACUGAGACUUGAGGGAAAUCUAUUGGUGGAGUGGCAUGAAGAAAGAUAUAACAACAUUUGUAGCUAAGUGUGCAACAUGCCAACAGGUUAAGGAUGAACGCCAAAGACAUGGUGGUAUGAUGCAAGAGUUUAGUAUUCUCACUAGGAAGUGGAAAGAGAUAAAUAUGGACUUCGUGAUUGUUUUACCUCCUUCCUGACGCCAUCAUGAUUCCAUUUGGGUUGUGGUUGAUAGGUUGACUAAGUCUGCUCAUUUCUUGCCUAUUGAUACUUCAUAUACUGCUGAGGAUUACGCUAGAUUGUAUAUUCGAGAGCUAGUUAGACUGUAUGAAGUUCCUUUGUCUAUCAUUUCGGAUAGGGGUACUCAAUUCACUUCGCAAUUUUGGAAAGCUUUUCAGAAAGGUCUUGGUAACCAAGUGCUUUUGAGUUAUGCUUUUUAUUUGUAGACUGAUGGUCAGGCUGAGAGGACCAUCCAGACCUUAGAGGAUAUGUUGAUAGCUUAUGCACUUGACUUUAAGGGAAGUUGGGAUGAUCACUUACCAUUGAUAGAGUUUGCUUACAAUAAUAGUUUCCACUCUAGUAUUGGCAUGGCUCCAUUUAAGCCUUAUAUGGGAGGAAGUGUAGAUCACCCAUAGGUUGGUUCGAGGUGGGUGAAGCGGCUGUGAGUGGUCCUGAUUCGGUAUUUGAGGCUAUGGAAAAAGUUAAGUUGAUUAGAGAUAGGUUGAAAACUGCCCAGAGUCGUUAGAAGUCAUAUGCGAAUGUUAGAAGGAGAGACCUUGAGUUUGAAGUUGGGGACCUAGUGUAUCUGAAAAUUUCACCCAUGAGUGGAAUGAAGAGAUUCGGAAAGAAGGGGAAGCUUAGUCCCUGUUAUGUUGGUCCUUACAAAAUUCUUAGCCGUGUUGGUAAGGUAGCUUAUGAGGUCGAGUUGCCUUCCGAGUUGUCCUCUGUUCAUCUAAUAUUUCAUUUCUCUAUGCUUAGAAAGCAUAUUAGCGAUGCUGUGGUAGUGGAUUCCUCUGUGAGUGUUGACAUUCAAGAAAAUCUUUCUUUUGAUGAGAUUCCUGUUGAGAUUCUUGAUUUCAGUGUCCAAAGACUAAGGAACAAAGAAGUUCCCUUAGUCAAGGUGUUGUGGCGAAACCAAAUCUGUUGAGGGUGCAACUUAGGAAGCUGAGGCAAAUAUGCGAUCCAAGUACCCGCACCUAUUUUUUGUGAACUCCGAUCAAGCCGAAGGUACCAUUAUUUCCUAAAUCAUGCACUUUUGAUAAAAGUUGCAGCAGUUCAGCUGUUAUUUAUUAUGUGUUCAGCUGUAGUUUCUUGAAUUUAUGCAUUCUAUGUUGCAUUCAGAGUGAGAAAUGAUAUGGAGAUGAGUCUAACAAAUGGUUUCAGCUGUAUGCUCUAUUCCCUAUCUAAUCUUGGCAUAUCUAGCAUCAUUAGAGGAUGAAUGUUUCCAAGGGGGGGAUGAUGUAAUACCCCGGGAAAUUUUUCGUUGAAAUUUUGUGUGUAAACGUGUUGGGCUCUAUCUUCUAGAAUGAAUUAUAAAUUUUUCCGUGCGGAAUGUCUUAUAUUUUGACCCACCAUUGCGUAGAGUAUCGAAUAUAUGUACCAAUGAUAUGUGGAUCAUCCAAAACGGACACCCGAGCGACGAGUUAUGAACAUUCAGAUCGAACCGUGAAUAGUAGUGAACAGUAAAACAUGCAGGAAAAAGUACUGAGGCUUGGCAUAUUUUUUCUUGAUCUUUAAAUGAUCAUAACUCCUUGUACAUUAUGAUCUGGGUUAUCUACUAUAUAUCAACAGAAAGCUCUGUGAGUCCUCUUUCCAAUUAAAUUGAUUUCAUCCAAUUUGUCUAGAGGAGAAAAAAGUUAUGGUCGAUCUACUUCAGCCUAUAAAAAGUAAAUUUUUGGAUAAAAUUCAAACGAUCAUAACUCCUCAUCCACAACGAUCUGGGUGAGAUACUAUAUAUCAACAGAAAGAUAUGAGAGUCCUCUUUCUAAUGAAAUUAGUUUCAUCCAAUUUGGAUAUCGAAGUAAAACGUUAUGGUUGAUCUACUUCAGACUAUCAAAACAGUCCACCAAAGGACAGAUUCGAGAAUUAUUUGAUUUUUAGGGGCGUUUUGGUCAUUCCCCCUCACCCAAAAUCCNNNNNNNNNNNNNNNNNNNNNNNNNNNNNNNNNNNNNNNNNNNNNNNNNNNNNNNNNNNNNNNNNNNNNNNNNNNNNNNNNNNNNNNNNNNNNNNNNNNNNNNNNNNNNNNNNNNNNNNNNNNNNNNNNNNNNNNNNNNNNNNNNNNNNNNNNNNNNNNNNNNNNNNNNNNNNNNNNNNNNNNNNNNNNNNNNNNNNNNNNNNNNNNNNNNNNNNNNNNNNNNNNNNNNNNNNNNNNNNNNNNNNNNNNNNNNNNNNNNNNNNNNNNNNNNNNNNNNNNNNNNNNNNNNNNNNNNNNNNNNNNNNNNNNNNNNNNNNNNNNNNNNNNNNNNNNNNNNNNNGAAUUUGAAGCAUGAACCCAUAUCUUAUGAUGAUUAUUAUGAAAUCUUGUUGUUUAUGAUUUUGAAAGAUGAAUUUACAUGUGUGGAGAUAUAAAGCAUGAAUCUUGAACGAUAUUUAUCAUGAUUUUGAUAUUUCGAUUGUGAAUCCCCAUUGAAAACUGUGUUUUUUUGAGAAAGUGUAUGUUAUAAGCACGUUGAUGUUGAAUAUUUGAGAUAUUUUGAAUGAUUUGACCUUUUGGUCUUAAUGGAGUUGUUUUGAACUGGAGUGUGAAAGAAAUCUACAACGUGGUUGAUUUUGAUAGAUGGGAAGCAUGAUGGCUCCUGAGGUAUAUUUAUAUAUUACUAAAAUUGUUUUGUUGUGGAUUGUCUUUGAAAUGAUAUGAGCUAAGUUCGGGAGAAAUCUUUAGCACCGAGUGGGAGGUAUAAAAGCAACCUUACUUCCCUAGAACUAGGUACCCCCAUAGGAGUGAGCCUGAGGCUGAUUUAUAUAGUCAUCACUAGUUUGUGUGGAAUUGAUAUCGAUAGUCCUACUCUGAUGGCAAGGAUAGGACAGCUCUGCCUAACGUGGGUCGUACGUUGGACUCCAUGUAGCUCACAUUGUUUGUGUCGUUAUAGGAUCUCCUAGUGUGUGUGUGUUUCCUUGUGUCUAUGGUGAAUGGUGAAGUGAUUUGAAAAUGCAAUUGUGAAAGUUAUUCUUUUGAAAGAUUUAAAUGAUAUUUACAUUAUGAGAAUUGAUAUUCUUGAUGAAUUGAAUGUGAUUGACAAAUAAUAUGAUGACUCACAUGUGUUAUUGUACUUAUUUUAUCCUCUCAUGAUUAUGAUGAUUUUCUUCGGUCUAUGUGAGUCUUUCAUAUAUCCUGCAUAUUUCUUAUUAAUAUUUAUGAUGAUGAAGUUUAUACAACUGUAUAAAACCCUCAUAUACUCGGUUCCUUUCCAUGGUACUGACCCACAUCUUCGGAUGUGGGCUGUAUUUUCUCGAAAUAUAGUUUUAGGUGCUCAGUUCCAGGUUCGACAGUGAUUUUUUGGGCACGCUGUUCUACAUCCUCUAUUAUGAUGAGUCCUCAUGUUCCGAGGACAUGAUGUCUGAUGUUGGUUUCACGGAAUUGUUUAAAUUUGAUAACUGAGUAUGAGUCAGUUGGGGCAUGUCUCAAUGGCUCGCUGGUUUUAUUGAUUUUCAUUGAGGCUUGUCAAACUAGUAUAGAUGUUGGGAGUUGACUAAUAAAUCGUAUUUUGUUAUCUUUUCGAAAUUCUUUUAUUCUUGGAUGAUGAUAACUCUAUUUAUAUUUGAGGGUUAUUUAUGGAAACCCCAUUGAUUUAUGUUGAACUAAAUGAAAAUGGCUCAAAGGGUUAGCUUGGGGCUACUCGUAGCCUCAAGCACCAUGUGAUGCUCUGGGACCCAUUUUUUUGGGCGUUACAAAUAAUCUUUUGACCAACCAUUGCGUAGAGUAUCAAAUAAUCUUUCCAACGAUAUGUGGAUCAUCCAAAACGGACACCCGAGCGACGAGUUAUGAACAUUCUGAUUGAACCAUGAAUAGUAGUAAACAGUAAAACAUGCAGGAAAAAGUACUGAGGCCUGACGUAUGUUUGCUCCAACUUUAAAGGAUCAUAACUCCUUGUACAUGAUGAUCUACGUGAUCUACUAUAUAUCAACGGAAAGCUGUGCAGUCCUCUUUCCAAAGAAAUUGGUUUCAUCCCAUUUGUCUAUCGGAGAAAAAAGUUAUGGUCGAUCUACUUCAGCCUAUCAAAAGCAAAUUUUUGGGUCAACUUCAAAUGAUCAUAUCUCCUCAUACACAAUGAUCUGGGCAAGAUACUAUAUAUCAACAAAAAGAUAUGAGAGUCCUCUUUCUAAUGAAAUUGGUUUUAUCCAAAUUGGAUAUCGGAGUAAAAAGUUAUGAUUGAUCUACUUUAGACUAUCAAAACAGUCUACCAAAGGAUAGAUUCGAGAAUUAUUUGAUUCAAAAAUCCACCCAAACCCUAUAUUAAAGCCUACUAGAAGCAUUAUAUGUUAUAUUUCAUCAAAUUUCCUCAAAAAGAAAACCCUAAGCUCCUACAUCCAACUUCAAGAACCUCCAAAGUUCACCAUUAAUUCUGCAAAUUUAUUCAAGAUUCCAAGUUCCUAGUUCAAGAACUCCAAGAACCAUCAUUCAAAGGCACGAUUAACAUCUCAAAAAUGAGUAUCGAUCUAAAGUUCAUCAUUCAAGGUAUGUGGGAUUUUUCAACAAGAACUCUCUUUCGUUCUUGUUCCCAAAAGUAAUUUUCUUUACAAAGGCAUGAUUUUUAUUUGAUUUUUACGAAUUUGAAGCAUGAACCCAUAUCUUAUAAUGAUUAUUAUGAAAUCUUGAUGUUUAUGAUUUUGAAAGAUGAAUUUACAUGUGUGGAGAUAUAAAGCAUGAAUCUUGAAUGAUAUUUACCAUGAUUUUGAUAUUUGGGUCGUGAAUCCCCAUAGAAAAUUGUAUUUUUUUGAGAAAGUGUGUGUUAUAAGCCCAUUGAUAUUGAAUAUUUGAGAUAUUUUGAAUGAUUUGAUCUUUUGGUCUUAAUAGAGUUGUUUUGAACUAGAGUGUGAAAGAAAUCUACAACGUGGUUAAUUUUGACAGAUGGGAAGCAUGAUGGCUCUCGAGGAAUAUUUAUAUAUUACUGAAAUUGUUUUGUUAUGGAUUGUAUUUGAAAUAAUCUGAGCUAAUUUUGGGAGAAAUCUUUAGCACCGAGUGGGAGGUAUAAAGUGAUCUUACUUCCCUAGAACAAUGUGCCCCUGAGGAGUGAGCCUGAGGCUGAUUUAUAUAGUGAUCACUAGUUUGUGUGGAUUUGAUAUCGAUAGUCCUAGUCCGAUGGCAAGGAUAGUACGACUCUCCCUAAUAUGGGUCGUACGUUGGACUCCAUGUAGCUCACAUGGUUUAUGUCGGUUUUAGGAUCUCCUAGUGUGUGUGUGUGUGUUUCCUUGUGUCUAUGGUGAAUGGUGAAGUAAUUUGAAAGUGGAAUUGUUAAAGUUAUUCUUUUGAAAGAUUUAAAUGAUAUUUACAUUAUGAGAAUUGAUAUUCUUGAUGAACUGAAAGUGAUUGACAAAUUAUAUGAUGACUCACAUGUGUUAUUGUACUUAUUUCAUCCUCUCAUGAUUAUGAUGAUUUUCUUCGGGCUAUAUGAGUCUUUCAUACAUCAUGCAUAUUUCUUAUAAAUAUUUAUGAUGAUGAUGUUUAUACAACUGCAUACACCCCCAUAUACUCGGUUCCUUUCCAUGGUACUGACCCACAUNNNNNNNNNNNNNNNNNNNNNNNNNNNNNNNNNNNNNNNNNNNNNNNNNNNNNNNNNNNNNNNNNNNNNNNNNNNNNAUUUGAUAACUGAGUAUGAGUCAGUUGGGGCAUGUCUCAAUGGCUCACUGGUUUUAUUGAUUUUCUUAGAGGCUUGUUAGGCUAGUAUAGAUGUUGGGAGUUGACUAAUAAUUCGUAUUUUGUUAUAUUUUUGAAAUUCUUUUAUUCUUGGAUGAUGAUUACUCUGUUGAUAUUUGAGGGUUAUUUAUGGAAACCCCGUUGAUUUGUGUUGAACUGAAUGAAAAUGGCUCAAAGGGUUAUCUUGGGGCUACUCAUAGCCUCAAGUACUGUGUGACGCUCCGAGACUCAUUUUCUGGGGUGUUGCACAAACCCUCUGCAUAUUUUCCUUAAACUAAGGAUGCUCAAGUACUGUAACAUAUAACCUGAAUGAUCUAUGUUUUAAGAUGAUUCUUUGUAUGUACUGGAAUAAUGUUGAUGAGUGAUCUGAUAUAUUUGGUUGCAAAUAAUCUUCCUUUAUAUGCCCAAACUAUUGUAGCCACUCAUAAUUUUUGAACACUCAAUCAAUUUUGCUCUACCCCUGUUAGGCCCCUGUUGUUUGUUGCACCAUGUAUAGUGGUGUGAGUUGUAGAUUCUUAACUAUUUCCUUAAAUCCCUACAUUUUAGCCUCUAUUACUGGUUGCUUAAUUCUACCAUCUAUCAUAAGGACAUUGUUAAAAUCCCCACUAAGCAACCAAGCCUUUUGGAUAUUUUCCCUAAGAUUCAACUACUCACUCCAUAGUUCUAUUAUCUAAAUCAACACAUUCUUUGCAUAAACCACAGUAAUAAUAGCUGAGAAGUUGCAAUUGAUAUCCUUAAUCUUGCAGUGUACAAAUUAUUCCUGCACAUUUAGGAUUUGUCUAUGAACAUGUUUCCUCCAGAGCAACCAUAUUCCGCCAUUUUCACCAUGUGGGUAAUUACAAAAGUAGUUCCAUUCUUUAGAAAAUUUCAUCAGCACAGUCUUAGCUUUUUCUCUCCUUUAUUCUAGUCUCUAAACAACCAAACACAUCAACUUUAUUCUUCUUCAAAAAAAGGAGCACCUCUUUCUGUUUGAAUGUCUGGUUUAGCCUACUUAUAUUCCAAGUGGACAGGUUCAUUGUUGUUUAAAUACCUUAUAAGGUGCAUGACAUGGGAAGCUUGUCCUACUCUCAUCCGUGCUCACCAAUACAACAAAACGAUUACCUAGAUUCUCUAUUGGGUUUGAGCUUGUAUGUGUAGUUGAUGGUGCAGCUUUUUGGGCACCAGAUUUAUCCUGAUUCACUAUUCUUUAUGGGUCUGUAGAUUCGUUAGUCUCGUUUCCUUGUGGAGCUUCUUGUCGAGCUUGCCAAGCUUGCACUACUUUCCUUAUUAUUCAACCUCUUUUUGUCUUUUAGGGGUUGUUUGAACUCCUCUUCUACACGGCACUGUAGAAUUUCCAUCUUCUCUUCUUGAUUCGUACUCUUGCACUCCUCCGUGUUAUUCCCAUAUUGAGUAUGGUAAUUGCAAAAUUCUGGCUUCUAAUUCUGCUCUACUUCCUAAUCAAUUGAUCCACAAGGAGUUUCAAUUACAAUAGUAACAACCAUCGGUUGCAAUAUAUCUACCUCGAUCAAGACCUGUGCAUAGGAAAUUCUAGUCAUGUCGGACUAUUUGUCCAUCCUAUUGAUUAGGUGGACUGAAUACCAAAUCAAUUCCUUUCCCUUCUUCUCUACUAUGCUUCAGAUCCACUGGACUAUACAUAUCAAUUAGUUUUAUAUCCUAUUUUGAGCUUGUAGAGGCACUCAUAUCAGAAAAUUGUAGCCUCCUAGGGAGAUUUGCAAGUUUAGUUAUAGGUUUCUUCACAUAAUUAGGUUAAAGACCAUUGCACUUGAUUAUACGUUCAUAUUCUAGCUUUUUCUCCUCCCUAAUUAUCUGAAAUUAAGCAGGGAAGAAUCUACCAAAAGUGAGUGGAGAGAGACUUUGACAUUGUCUUAUUGCGGGAGUCACUAUAGUCGCUGUAGAAGUCGACUUAUUCCACCCUCUUACCAUCUUCAGUGUACAUUAGCCUCUCUCAACUAAACGUGCACCGAGAUCUAAUUUCAACUAAUCAUGUACCUUUUUUCAAUCACUUUCUUUGUUGUUACUUUUUUUUAUUACUUUGUUGUUAGUAUUUACUUAGUUUCUUGUCUAUUAUGGGGGAAUACACACUAUAGCUAGAAGAAGUUAAUUUAUUGGUAAUCUUACGAGGAUGAACACCAUGUUUAUAGUUGAUAAAUCUUUUGUUUGAGUUUUAAUUUUUCAUAAUUAGCAUAAUUUGGUGUUAUUUCCAUUAGUUCACAUUCCAAGUUAUCAUAAACAUUGUGUUACUUAAAUUGUUCAAGUUAAUAGUGUGUUGUACUUGCUGGCAUAUUUGAGGUAUCAAGGAAUGAUUUUAUUAAAUGAUGGUGUGUUGUUAAUGGAAUGAUUUUGUAGAAUGAUGGUGUUAAUGAUGUGAUUUUGUGGAAUGAUGGUGUGUUGUUAAGGAAUGGUUGUUGUCCUAGUUAAUGGCAUUAAGGCAUGGUUAAUUUGAAAAAAUUGUUGUGAAAUUCAUGUGGUGUAUGGAAUAAUAUUGUAAAUUGUGGAAUGAUAUUGAGAAAGUUGAAGCAACAAAUGAUAUACUAAUGAUAUUAUUCAGAAUAUUGGUGCUCUCUUUCAAAGUGUACAUCGGUAAAGUUUGAGUAUCCGAUAGUAUCACUUAAGUGGGUUAUGCUGACAAAUUCAGUGUUGGGUGUUGUAGUUAGCCACAUUAUGCUUUACUAAUGUCCAAUGUUGAUGAUGAUUAUAGGAACCAUGGUUCCAAAGGUUAACAAAGGAAAGGGAGUGGCAUCUAGCUCCUAUCAAGGUUAGAAAAGGUCAUGAAAAGGGCAAUCUUUUGAGGCUAACCGUGAUGCCUCUUCAACUCUUUAAGUUCCUUGUCGUACAUUUGGUAUCAAAUGGGUUGAAAAAGAAGGCAUCCAAUAGUAUAAGGAUAAUAAAGAUCAUUAUUACCAACCAACAGAAUGAUUUACAAGGAGAGUUUGAUACGAUACUAACCUUGUAUCUUAGUCCAUAUCAGGCAUGUUAAACUUGACUUCAUUUUUUAGUAAAUGGGUGAAUCCAAUUUUGACUUAGUAAGGUAGUUUUAGGACAAUAAGUUCCCUAGCACUCAAUGGAACAGGUAAAGAUAUGAGGACACAUUCUAAAGAUGACGGCUAAGGCACUAAAUUCCAUUCAUGGAACUCUAGACGUGAACCACUCUAGAUUAUGGGAACUAUAUAGUUGACCUCUUUACAGUGAUAUUAGGCACACUUUGUGUAGGGUAUGUCCCAUGGAUAGGUUGGACCAUCAUAAAGAAAAGGGUUACCAUAAUACUUGUCCCUAUGCUUUCCUAAACAAGGAAAGACACAUUUGGUUAAGGAUAGUCGGUGCUUGCCUUAUUUUGGGGUCACACUUCACAAACAUCUUUCAUGAUCGGGUAUGUUUAGUAUAUUCUCUUAUGACUAUUAUUCGUAUCAACGUUGGUGCAGUGAUCCGCGCUUAUAUGGACAAGGCUAGGUUACACAAAAAGUUACGAUUUAGUUUUGGGGGCUUGUUGACCAAAUUCUUGAAAGCAAAUGAUAUUGAGGAGGAUCCAUAUGAUCAUAAGUCGCUACAAAGUUUGAAGGGCAUCGAUGUCACUAAGGUUAAAAAAUCAGAUUCAAGGCAAGGGCUAACCCUAACAACUACUAAAACAAAUGGACGUGAUGAAAACUUCUUUCGCUAUUUCUAUGACAUGAUGAAGCUAAUUAUGAUGUGUGGCAACCAUGUACCUACAAAUGAUGAGUUGCAUCAACUGGAUUAUGAUUAUCCAAUAAAUAAGCAUGUAAGAGCUAUGUGUAGGGUGGGUCAUACAUUUUGAGAGCUCAUGGAUGAUGAUGUACCAACUGAUGAGGAUGGGUCAUACAUUUUGAGAGCUCAUGAAUGAUGAUGUACCAACUGAUGAGGAUAGGUUGAUAGUGGACUCCGACAUGGAGGUUGAUUCUGAUGUAGGUGGUAUGAGCCCAGAUGUUGAGGAGGAGUACUAUUAGGACCAGAAAGUUCUUUUACCCAUCUAUUCUUUAUUGUUUUAUUUACACUUGGUACAGCGCUAUGCUUAAGCGUGGGGUUGUGGGGUAAAAAGUGCUUCAUGGAUAUAUUCAUGAAACUACAUUUGAUGACUUUACUUUCUAUAUUGGUUUGUAAUAACUAGUAUCUUCACUGUAGUGGAUUUGUUUAAUUUGGAAGGAGCAAUCAGUUUGGUCUUUUGGUUUGUUAUUUUUUUAAGUUAUAUAUUUAUUUAUGUUUUAUGUUCUUUUAUGCUUGGAUUAAAAGUUUUGAAAUAAAGUCAUAGUUAGGUACUUUUCUCGAUGAUGGAUGGAUGAUGAUCGUCUUAUGAGAAAAUUAGUCAUUUUUAGACAAAAACAAGUGGAGCCUAUUUUUCAUAAAAUUGAACUUAAGUGCUCUUGUGGGUUACAUGACCAUAUGACACAAGCAUGAUAUACAGUAGAAACAAAACAUGCUUAGUGGGUAGAUGAAUGAUUACUUUUGAAACUCCUAAGCUCAACUAUAUGAUUAUUUGGUAAUUCAAGCUUGAAGUUAAAUUCAUUUCAUGGCUUGAGUAAGAAUUCAAUAUAGGUCAAUCUUGAUUGGACCAUGUUCUUUGUAUGAGUGAGUAUUUUCUUAUUCCAUGUUAAAUUGUGGUGUGUAGAACUACAAAGUAAAAUGAAGUAUGUAAGGUUUAGGAAAUGAUAUAGGCCUUCUUUGGCUAGCCCUGUUGAAUGCCUUUUCUAACUACCUACUAUUUAUGAACUUAGUAAGUGUCGUCGAGACUUAAGCCUAUUAUUUGGUAGCCUUAUUUUUAGCCUAUUUCAUUUUGUUUAUUGACCAUGUUUUGAUCCCAAAAAUUCCUUAGCGCUUUAGUUGAAAAAUUUAAAGGUUGGGAGCUGGUAUUGCAAAGUGGAAUUGGUAAUAAAGCACAACAUGGUAGUGUUUGGUUUGGCAAAACGAUUAUGCAUUGUGGAUAGUGGGAAUGUAUAGUAGAUAUAUUAAAAAAGAGAAAAGGAAAAGAAAGAGAAAGAAUGGUCUAUCAAAAUGAAAUAAAUCUCCUACAUCUCUUUUGUAGUCUAAUUCAAGGAGAUGAGGCUGAAAUGAAAGAAGUAUAAAUUACAAGUGAUAGAGAGGAAAUGUUGUUGAAAUGAGUUUCAUAGUAAGGUGACGAAUUAAAGUGCUUAUGGAAGUUAGUCACUAUUUCUAUCCAAAAUAGUACCUACCCAUCCCUUAGCCUACAUUACAACCCAUUAAAGUCCUGCUUGAUCUUAUUCCUUAACAUCCUUAGUAGAGUAUUACACUAAGGGCAUGCUUAUGGGUCACCUAAUGUGCAUGUGAAUUCUUUAAGAGAGUGAGCAUAAAUUUUCAUCCGUACCCCCAAAAUUUUGUGAUGUUUUACAUGUGCUAAGAAAUGUAGGGGUACUCUCUUAGGGUAAGGGGCACAUGUUUAAUGAUGGAUUGAGACUUGUUGUAGUUUCUUAAUUGAAAAAUGUGCAUGAAUUGCAAGUUUCUGAAGAGUAUAUUCUUGAGGGUAGGAAGCUUCAAGUAGUUAUUCAUAUAUUUAAUAACAUGUUCAUAAACAAGACUUGUUGUUCAUAUAUAUUGUGUGAUCCUAACUUGAGUAUCUAAUUUUUAAUUGAUGAGAUUGGAGCCUUGUGUAGUGUGCGUAAACUAGAUAAUUGUUUGAGGACAAAAAAAGCUUUAAGUGUAGGGUCGUGAUCUUGGGUGUAUUUAUAUGCCUAAACACUAUAUAUUACCCAUACACGAGCUAUAUUUUGAGACAAAAGUAUCUAAAUUCAUAGGUUUUAUCAUACUUUUGAUGUAAAUGAGCUAACAUACAUUAUUAGUACAAUUUUAGGAGUAAAAUAAGCAUAUGGAAGAGACAGGGGGAUCAUGAAAUGCGUCCAACACAAGACGUAAUACAAAUGGCAUGUUGGAGACAUGGUUCACACCGCAACCCCUAGGGUCUGCGCUGAGCUUCAUGCCACGGCCCCUAGGUUAUGUGUUUAGCUUUGUUCCAUAACACUUGGGGUAGGUGUUAAGGAGUAUACUGCAAUGUCAUAUUCCGAGGUGAGAUAUUCAUGUAAAUUUACAACGUACAUGUGAAACUCCCAAUUCUGUAAGCCAUAUUUGGUCACAUGAAUUACCAAGAGUACCCUAGUUAUAAGAGAGCUUAUGAUGUGUUAAGUGUGGUUAUAUGAGUCGCUUAAGGUAGUACAAGCUAAGAGUUUCAAAAUCCAUCAAGUUUUAGUGUUUGAAUUUGUAAGGGUCAUCUUUGAAUGAGCAUAAAUUGAUAAAUAUGUGGUAUUUCUGCAUAUUUCUACCCACCAAAUUAUAUAUAAUCGAAUUAGCUUUCCAACGAUACCAAUUUCAUCAAAAUCUGACUCUCGAGCAAGGAGUUAUGGCUUUACGAAGUAGAGUGCAUCACCUAAUCAACACACAUGGCUACUGGAAUAGUUGUGCGAUAAGAAAUGCCGCGCAUACCUAAAUGUGUACAAUAAGAAAUGCACCACAUACCUAAAUAUGUGCGAUAAGCAAUGUGGCACAUACCUAAACGUGUGCGAUAAGCAAUGCGGCGCAUAUCUAAAUGUGUGCGAUAAGCAAUGUGGUGCAUACUUAAAUUUCAGGUAGAUAAAACAAACCAUUUUGAGUUAUUUUGAGGGCAAUUAAGUCUUUUGGCACUCCUUACAUGCCGCUAAACUUAACCUUAUGACUUUAAUAGAAUCUAAACACAUCAUAACCCUAUUAUCAAUCUAAGUUCACCAUCGAAGAGCACUAAAGGAGAAAAACAACUAGGGUUGCACAAUCAACAUUGAGGGUCCAAUCUUUCAACGAAUCCGUUACCAAAGGUAUGUGGGGUUUUCAAAAAGAACAUCCUUUCGUUCUUGUGCCCAAAAAUUUGUAUUAUUUUACGAAGAUACAUGAUUUUACUCUUUUAAUUAUGAAUUUGAGAUGGAAACUAUUAUCCUAUAUUCUUGUUCAAGAAACUAUGAUAUUUUUGUGAUGUCUUAAAGAAAAAUUCCUUGAGUUUUGAUGUUAAUAUCAUGUUUCAAGUUGAAUUUCCAGAUUUUCAUAUAAAGUACGAAUCUUGAAAUGUUUUGCUUAAGUGUUGAUAUAUGGGAUUUAAACCCUCUUUGAGAUUAUGAUCAUUGGUGAAGUAAUGUGUUAUACACACCUUGAUAUUUGAAUGAUUUGACCUUUCGGUCUUGAAAGAGUUAUUUUUGAACUCGAAUGAGAAAUGAAAUCCACAUGUUGAUUUAUUAUGAAAAAAGGGUAGCAUGAUGGCUCCCGAUAUGAAUUAUUGAAUUGCAUUGUUGUGGAUUUUCUUUUAAAAUGAUCUGAGCUCAGUCCGGGAGUAGUCUUUAGCACCGAGUGGGUGGUAUAGCUGUGAUUGGUACUUUUCUAGAACUACGUGCCCCCAUAGGAUGUGAGCCUAAGGCUAUUGAUAUAGUGAUCACUAGUAAGCAAAAGAUUAAGGUCCUACUCUGAUGGAAAAGAUAGGACAACUCUCCCCAAUGUAGGUUUGAUGUUGGACUCCAUGUAGCUCACAUGCAUUAUGUCAGUUGUAAGAGACUCCCAGUGUGUGUGUGUAGUCUUCUGAUUAAGGUGAAAAAUGUAAUAGUUUAAAAGUGUGAGUUGAGAAAGUUAUCCGUUUUGAAGAAUUUGAUGAAUAUUUCUAUAUCUUAAAGAGAAUUGUUAUGAAAGCUACUCGUUUUGAUGACUUGAAAAUGAUUAUUAAAGAUUAGGAUUUACUAUGAUGACUCACAUGUUUUCACCGAUGUGUUUUACUCUAUGGUGAUUAUGAUGAUUUUAUUUUGAGCUAUAUGAGUCUCUUAUUACAGCAUGCAUAUUUUCCUAUGAAUAUUUAUCAUAUAGGACUUUUUUGAAAACUUGCAUACACCCUCAUAUACUCAAUCCAUAUUCCAUGAAACUGACCCAUGUAUUUGUACGUGGGCUAUAUUUUCCCUUUAAUGUAGGUUCAGAUGCUCAUUCCCAGGCUUGACAUAAUUCUCCGACCAUAUUGGUCUACAUUUUUUGUAGUGGUGAGUCCUCAUGGUUCGAGGACUGGUUAUUUUAGAUUUCACUCUUUUAUUUUGAGUUAUCUUUUUAUUCCCUGAUGUUAGGGUCAGUUGGGGUCUAUCCUAAUGGAUUAGUGUUAUACAGUUUAGUAGAGACUUGUCAAACUAGAUGGUUAGAUUGAUCAAUCUUGUUGAGAGGUCGUAUUUUUUUACUUUUCGCAUCUCUUUCAUGUUGAAUUAUGAUAUUUUGGAGAAUAUAUUGAUGUUUGAUGAUAGUAAUCCUGUCGAUCAGUGUUGAAUGGUAUGAAAAUGGCUCAAAGGGUUAGCUUGGGGCUUCUUGUAGCCUUAAGCACUGUGUGACGCUUCAAGACCCAUUUUUGGGGCGUUACAAACUUGGUAUCAGAGCCUAAGGUUAUUGGAGUCCUUGGGAGUCUGGCAAGCCGCGUUAAGUAAAGUAUUGAUCAUCGGUGUGUAGCGCGCCACAUUUAUAAGAAAGAGGCUACGAGACAUUUUAGGAAAAAGUGUUAUUUCUUUCUUUCAGAAGUCCAUCGUGCUUUUAGUUGUUUCCUUUCAGCUAUUAAUUCAUGCUCUUCUCUUUUAGAAUAUGCCUCCUCGCUGAGCUAGAAGAAAUAACAAUGGUCAGCAGCCCCAACCUGCUAACCCACUGAAUGAAAAUGUGUCCCAUGCUGAAUUUUGGGCAGUCUUUCAGGCACUGGCCCAAGCUAUCACUACGAAUGUUCAGGCCAAUUCGGCCUAGGCUCUAUAUAAAUAAGGAGAUAAAGCAGCUGCUACGAGGAUCUAUAACUUUAUAAGGAUGAAUCUGCCAGAAUUUUAUGGGUCCAGGCCAGAUGAGGAUCCACAAUUGUACUUGGAGGAGGUGCAAAAGAUUACUCAGGCAAUGCAUGUCCCUGAGGAGCAUAGUGUGGAGUUGGUAGUAUAUCGGUUGAAAAACCUUGCUUAUGAUUGGGUAGUUUCUUGGAGAAAGAGUAGAGGUGAGGGUGUCGCCUUUCCAUCUUGGCAGGAGUUCUAAGAUGCAUUCCUGUAUAAGUUUUUCCCUUUAGAUAUAAGAGAGCCGAAGGUAGAGGAGUUCAUGAACUUGCAACAGGGCUCUAUGACUGUUAAAGAGUACUGUCUAAAGUUCAAUCAGUUGGCCAAAUAUGACCUAACUUAGUAGGUGAUAAUUGGGGCAGUAUGAGUAAAUUUGUGAUAGGAGUAUCUAGCUAUGUUGUUAAAGAGUGCAGGCCUGCUAUGUUAAAUUGUGAGAUGAAUCUUUCUAGGUUGAUGAAUUAUGCCCAACAGAUUAAAGUAGACAAGAUCAAGGAGAGGGAUAGAAUGAGAAGGAAUAAAAGAGCUAGGUCUAAGCAGCACAGACAGGGUUAGACAAGAUCGUAGGGAGGGAAUCGCCCUCAGUUUUAGAACCAUUCAUCUAUACCAGCACCAUCAUCAUCUAGUGCUCCCAUACCUAGGGGUGGGCAGGAGCAAGGUAGAAGGUCAUAUGCAGCCAGGUCCUAGUACAGUGUUGGCAGUAAGCCAAAUCAUCCUUCGUGUCCUAAGUGUGGUAGAACCCACUCGGGUGAGUGUUUGGGUGAGAAAAAAGGUUAUUUCGGGUGUGGUGACUUAGGUCACAAAAUUAGGGAGUGCCCACAUGCCAGGUAAGGGCAUCGUUAUAAUCGCCCUCAGACUCAAAAUCAGACUGCUAGUGCUCUAAUUUAGGUGACUCGCCCAGCCCCAGCUCAGGGCGCCUCUUCUAGCACUGCUGGCGGUUAGAGCCAGAAUAGGUUCUAUGCUUUGCCAUCUCGCCAGGAUCAAGAGGACUCUCCGGAUGUCAGGAUCAAGAGGACUCUCCCGAUGUUGUUAUUGGUAUGCUCCAUAUACUUCAAUUUGAUGUCUAUGUUUUGUUGGACCCUGGGUCCAAUUUUUCAUAUGUUACACCUUUGGUUGCUGUGAAUUUUAAAACGAGUCCUGAAAAUAUUCCUGAGCCUAUCUUAGUUUCUACCCCAGUGGGUGAUUCAAUUAUUGCCCAGAAAGUGUAUAGAAAGUGUCCUGUUACAGUCUUUCAUAGAGUCAUGUUGGCUGAUCUGAUUGAGUUAGACAUGGUGGAUUUCGAUGUUAUUCUGGGUAUGGACUGGCUUUAUUCUUGUUAUGCCUCUAUAGAUUGUCGUACCCGAGUGGUCAAGUUUCAGUUUCCUGAUGAACCUGUGUUUGAGUGGUCUGGGAGUUCUUUAUCUCCCAAGAGUCAUUUUAUCUCAUAUAUUAAAGAUAGAAAACUUAUUUCCAAGGGGUCCAUUUAUCAUCUGGUUAGAGUCAAGGACACUAAGUCUGAGACUCUAACUCUCCCAUUAGUUAGCAUUGUCAAUGAGUUUUCUGAUGUUUUUCUGGAAGAUCUCCCGGGGAUACCUCUUGAUAGAGAGAUAGAGUUUAGGAUCGAUCUUCUUCCCGAUAAUCAACCCAUUUCUAUUCCUCCUUACCGUAUGGUACCUAAAGAACUUAAGAAGUUGAAAGAGAAACUCAAAGAUCUGUUAGAUAAGGGUUUCAUAAGGCCCAGUGUUUCUCCUUGGAGUGCUCCUGUGUUAUUUGUGAGAAAGAAAGAUGGUUCCCUGUGUAUGUGUAUUGACUAUCGCCAGCUGAAUAAAGUUACUGUAAAAAAUAAGUAUCCUCUUCCUAGAAUAAAUGAUUUGUUUGACCAAUUGCAAGGUGCAAGUUACUUGUCAAAGAUAGACCUUCGAUCCAGCUAUCAUGAACUCAAAGUUAGAGAGUGUGACACCCUGAAAACAUCUUUCCGAACUCGCUGUGGUCAUUUUGAGUUUCUUGUUAUGUUCUUCGCGUUAACUAAUGCCCCGGGAUCUUUCAUGGACCUUAUGAAUUGAGUGUUUAGAUCAUAUCUUGACAUGUUUGUUAUCGUAUUUAUAGACGAUAUUCUGGUGUACUCCCAUAGUGAGAAUAAAUAUCUAGAUCAUCUCUGAAUUGUCUUGCAAACUCUUAGAAACCAUCAAUUGUUUACCAACUUCAGCAAGUGGGAGUUUUGGUUGAGGUCAGUUGCUUUUCUGGAUCAUAUCAUUUUUUUUGAAGGUAUUAGAGUUGAUCCCCAAAAGACACAAGCUAUUAGAAACUAGCCUAGACCUAUCUCUUCGAAUGACAUCCAAAGUUUCUUAGGUCUAGCUGGCUAUUACCACCGUUUUUUUGAAGGUUUCUCCUCUAUAGCGUCUCCUAUGACCUGGUUGACCCAAAAGAAAGUGAAGUUCUUGUGGUCCGAUUCUUGUGAGAAGAGUUUUCAAGAGUUGAAGACUCGACUCACUUCAGCCCCUGGUUUGACUUUUCCUAAUGGUGUUGAGGGUUUUAAAGUAUAUUGUGAUGCUUCUAGAAUUAGUUUGGGUUGUGUAUUGAUGCAGAAGGGUAAGGUGAUAACUUAUGCUUCUAAACAGUUGAAACCCCGUGAGAAGAAUUACCCCAUUAGCUGCUGUUAUGUUUGCUCUAAAAAUCUGGAGACACUAGUUGUAUGGUGUUCACAUUGAUGUUUUCACUGAUCAUAAGAGUUUACAAUAUAUAUUUACCCAGAGGGAGUUGAACCUUAGGUAGAUAAGGUGGUUAGAGCUGUUAAAAGAUUAUGAUUUAAGUGCAUUGUACCAUCCUGGUAAGGCCAAUGUAAUGGCAGAUGCCCUAAACAGGGUGUCUAUGGGUAGUGUUUCGCUUAUUGAAAAGGGUAAGAAAGAGUUGGAUCGUGAUGUGCACCGUUUGGCUAGACUGGGGGUUAGGUUGUUUGACUCUGCUGAAGGUAGUAUAGGGGUACAGAGUAGUUCCGAAUCCUCCUUGAUUUCGGAAGUAAAGGAGAAGCAAAACUUAGAUGCUAGUUUGGUCAGACUGAAAGAAUCAAUCAAGGACCAAAAGGUGGAGGUUUUCUCCCAAGGGGGAUAUAGUGUGUUGAGAUUGCAGGAUAGAUUAUGUGUUCCGAAUGUUGAUGAUCUGAGACAAAGAAUUAUGGCUGAAGCGCAUGACGCACGAUAUUCUAUUCAUUCUGGUGCCACCAAGAUGUACCAUGACUUGCGGGAAAUCUAUUGGUAGAGUGGCAUGAAGAAGGAAAUAGCAGCAUUUGUGGCUAAGUAGGCGACGUACCAACAGGUUAAGGUAGAGCACCAAAGGCCUGGUGGUAUGAUGCAGGAGUUCGGUAUUCCCACUUGGAAGUGGGAAGAGAUAAACAUGGAUUUUCUGACAGGUUUACCUCCUUCCCGACGCCAUCAUGAUUCCAUUUGGGUUAUUGUGGAUAGAUUGACUAAGUCUGCGCACUUCUUGCCUGUGCAUACUUCUUAUACUGCUGAGGAUUAUGCUAGAUUGUAUAUCCGAGAAUUAGUCAGAUUGCAUGGAGUUUCCUUGUCCAUCAUUUCAGAUAGGGGUACUCAGUUCACUUUGCAGUUUUAAAGAGCUUUUCAGAAGGGUCUUGGUACCCAAGUGAAUUUGAGUUCUGCUUUCCAUCCAUAGAUAGAUGGUCAGGCUGAGAGGACCAUCCAGACCUUAGAGGAUAUGUUGAGAGCGUGUGCUCUUGACUUUAAAGGGAGUUGGGAUGAGCAUUUACAGUUGAUAGACUUUGCUUACCAUAACAGUUUUCACUCUAGGAUUAGCAUGGCUCCAUUUGAGGCUUUGUAUGGGAGGAAAUGUAGGUCACCUAUAGGUUGGUUUGAAGAGGGUGAAUCUACCGUGAGUGGUCCUGAUUCGGUCUUUGAGGCUAUGGAAAAAUUCAAAGUGAUUAGAGAAAGAUUGAAAAUCGCACUGAGUCAUCAGAAGUCGUAUGCUGAUGUAAGGAGAAGAGACCUUGAAUUUAAAGUUGGUGACUUGGUGUAUUUGAAGAUUUCACCCAUGAAGGGAGUGAAGAGAUUUGGGAAGAAGGGGAAACUUAGUCCCCAUUAUGUUGGCCCCUACAGAGUACUUAGCCGUGUUGGUAAGGUAGCAUAUGAGGUUGAGUUUCCUUAAGAGUUAUCUUCCGUUCACUCUGUCUUCCAUGUCUCCAUGCUUAGGAAACACGUUGGUGAUUGUGUUGUUGUAGAUCCUUCAUAAAAACCUGAUGUCCAAGAUAGUCUUUCUUUUGAGGAAGUUCCUACUGAGAUUUUAGAUCACCAAUUCCGAAGACUAAGGAACAAAGAAGUUCCCUUGGUCAAGGUGUUAUGGCGAAACCAAUAUGUUGAAGGUGCAACUUGGGAAACCAAGACGGAUAUGCGAUCCAAGUAUCCGCACCUAUUUUUUGUAAGCCCUGAUCAAGCCUAAGGUACCAUUCUGCUCUAAAUCAUUCCUUUUCUAUGCAGAGUUGCAGUAGUUCAGCAGUUAUUUUAUACUAUUCAGCUGUGAUUUCAUGAGUCAUGCACUCCUUGUUGUUUCCGAAAUGUAGAAUGUAGUAGAGGCAAGAUUAGCAAGUUGCUUCAGCUGUGUACCCUUCGUUUUCUCUUAAAUCUUAGUAUACCUAGCGUCAUUCGAGGAUGAAUGUCCCCAAGGGGAAGAUAUUGUAAUGCCCCGGGGCACUUUCCUAAGCUAAAAAGCGAACCGAUGUUCGUACAUGUGAAAACCCUAAUUCUGUAAGCCAUAUUUGGGCACAUGAAUUACCAAGAGUACCUUAUUUAUAAGAGAGCUUAUGAUGUGUUAAGUGUGGUUAUAUGAGUCACUUAAGGUAGUACAAGCUAAGAGUUUCGAAAUCCAUCUAGUUUUAGUGUUUGAAUUCGCAAGGGUCAUCAUUGAAUGAGCAUAUUUUGAUAAAUAUUCGGUAUUUCUUCAUAUUUCUACCCACCAACUUAUAUAGAAUCGAAUUAUCUUUCCAACGAUACCAAUUUCAUCAAAGUCCAACACCCUAGCAAGGAGUUAUGGCUUUGCGAAGUAGAGUGCGUCGCCUAACCAAUCGCACAUGGCUACUGGAAUAGGUGUGCGAUAAGCAAUGUGGUGCAUACCUAAAGGUGUGCGAUAAGCAAUGUGGCGCAUACCUAAAUAUGUGCCAUAAGCAAUGCGAUGCAUACCUAAAUAUGUUCGAUAAGCAAUGCGGCGCAUACUUAAAUUUCAGGUAGUAAAAACACUCCAUUUUGAGUUUUUUUGAGGGCAAUUAAGUCUUUUGGGACUCCUUACAGACCCCUAAACUUAACCUUAUGAAUUUAAUAGAAUCUACACACAUCAAAACCCUAUUAUCAAUCUAAGUUCAUCAUCCAAGGGCACUAAAUGAGAAAAACAAUCAGGGUUGCACAAUCAACAUUGAGGGUCCGAUAUUUCAACUAAUCCAUUACCAUAGAGGUAUGUGGGGUUUUCAACAAGAACAUCCUUUCGUUCUUAUGCCCAAAAAUUUGUAUUAUUUUACAAAGAUACAUGAUUUUACCUGUUUAAUUAUGAAUUUGAGAUGGAAACUAUUAUCUUAUAUUCUUGUUCAAGAAACUAUGAUAUUUUUGUGAUGUCUUAAAGAAAAAUUCCUUGAGUUUUGAUGUUAAUAUCAUGUUUCAAGUUGAAUUUCCAUAUUUUCAUAUGAGUUAUACUUGUUUGCUAUAUAAAGUAUGAAUCUUGAAAUGUCUUACUCAAGUGUUGAUAUAUGGGAUUUAAACCCUCUUUGAGAUUAUGAUCUUUGGUGAAGUAAUGUGUUAUACACACCUUGAUAUUUGAAUGAUUUGACCAUUUGAUCUUGAAAGAAUUAUUUUUGAACUCGAAUGAGAAAAGAAAUCCAUAUGUUGAUUUAUUAUGAAAAAGGGGUAGCAUGAUGGCUCCAUAUAUGAAUUGUUGAAUUGCGUUGUUGUGGAUUUUAUUUUGAAAUGAUCUGAGCUCAGUCCGGAAGUAGUCUUUAGCAUCGAUUGGGAGUCCUAGCUAUGAUUGGUACUUCCCUAGAACUAUGGCUGAUUGAUAUAGUGAUCACUAGUGAGCAAAAGAUUAUGGUCCUACUCUGAUGGCAAGGAUAGGACAGAUCUCCCCAAUAUGGAUUACAAGAGACUCCCAGUGUGUGUGUGUGUAUUCUUCUAUUUGAGAUGAAAAAUGUAAUAGUUGGAAAGUGUGAGUUGAGAAAGUUAUCGUUUUUGAAGAAUUUGAUGAAUAUUUCUAUAUCUUAAAGAGAAUUGUUAUGAAAGCUACUCGUUUUAAUGACUUGAAAAUGAUUAUGAAAGUGAUUGGGAUUUACUAUGAUGACUCACAUGUUUUCACCGAUGCGUUUUACUCUAUGGUGAUUAUGAUGAUUUUAUUUCAAGCUAUGUGAGUCUCUUAUUACAGCAUGCAUAUUUUCCUAUGAAUAUUUGUGAUAUAGGACUUUUAUGAAAACUUUCAUACACCCUCAUAUACUGGGUCCAUAUUCCAUGGUACUGACCCAUGUAUUCGUACGUGGGCUACAUUUUCCCUGUAAUGUAAGUUCAGGUGCUCAUUCCCAAG